rnacentral:rRNA from 1 species
UACGGAGGGUGCAAGCGUUAAUCGGAAUUACUGGGCGUAAAGCGCACGCAGGCGGUUUGUUAAGUCAGAUGUGAAAUCCCCGGGCUCAACCUGGGAACUGCAUCUGAUACUGGCAAGCUUGAGUCUCGUAGAGGGGGGUAGAAUUCCAGGUGUAGCGGUGAAAUGCGUAGAGAUCUGGAGGAAUACCAGUGGCGAAGGCGGCCCCCUGGACGAAGACUGACGCUCAGGUGCGAAAGCGUGGGGAGCAAACAGG